CCUACGGGGGGCUGCAGUGGGGAAUAUUGCACAAUGGGGGAAACCCUGAUGCAGCGACGCCGCGUGAGUGAAGAAGUAUUUCGGUACGUAAAGCUCUAUCAGCAGGGAAGAAAAUGACGGUACCUGACUAAGAAGCACCGGCUAACUACGUGCCAGCAGCCGCGGUAAUACGUAGGGGGCAAGCGUUAUCCGGAUUUACUGGGUGUAAAGGGAGCGUAGACGGCAGCGCAAGUCUGGAGUGAAAUCCCAUGGCUUAACCAUGGAACUGCUUUGGAAACUGUGCAGCUAGAGUGCAGGAGAGGUAAGCGGAAUUCCUAGUGUAGCGGUGAAAUGCGUAGAUAUUAGGAGGAACACCAGUGGCGAAGGCGGCUUACUGGACUGUAACUGACGUUGAGGCUCGAAAGCGUGGGGAGCAAACAGGAUUAGAUACCCCGGUAGUC
rnacentral:rRNA from 1 species